UGGGGGCUGGUCGUGGGGGAAAAAUGGGGAAGGGGAAGGGUGUGGGGGUGCGACUGUGAUGGGGAAGAGGAGAGGGGUGCGAGGGGAAGAAAAGCUAAGGGGUGUGGUGGUCGGUGCGAGGGAAAGGAAAGGGGAGAGGGUACGGGUUGACGGUGUGAGGUGAGGGUGAGGGUGUUGGAUUUGUGUGAUUAGGUGAAAGGGAAGGGGUUAGGGUGUGAGGGCGCCAAUGGUGGUAUAGUGAUAGGGGAAGGUUGUAUGGACGGUGGUCGGAAGGCGUGGGAGUCGGUCAACGAUGAAAAGUAGAGCUGCAGUUAGGUUGGGGAUAGUUCAGGAAGAAGACAAAAAAAAAGAAAAGAAAGGGGGUAUUAAGAUUUUACAGAAGACACGAUCGUGUUUAGGCCCGUGUUGGGCCACACGGCCGUGUGGGGUGUUCUCAGCUCAUGUGUGAUUUGAAACUCAAGCCCAAUCUUUACACAGCUUCGGACACG
rnacentral:lncRNA from 1 species